rnacentral:rRNA from 1 species
AUGCACGCUGGCGGCGUGCUUCACCCCUGCAAGUCGAACGAUGAAGCCCAGCUUGCUGGGUGGAUUAGUGGCGAACGGGUGAGUAACACGUGAGUAACCUGCCCUUAACUCUGGGAUAAGCCUGGGAAACUGGGUCUAAUACCGGAUAGGAGCGUCCACCGCAUGGUGGGUGUUGGAAAGAUUUAUCGGUUUUGGAUGGACUCGCGGCCUAUCAGCUUGUUGGUGAGGUAAUGGCUCACCAAGGCGACGACGGGUAGCCGGCCUGAGAGGGUGACCGGCCACACUGGGACUGAGACACGGCCCAGACUCCUACGGGAGGCAGCAGUGGGGAAUAUUGCACAAUGGGCGCAAGCCUGAUGCAGCGACGCCGCGUGAGGGAUGACGGCCUUCGGGUUGUAAACCUCUUUCAGUAGGGAAGAAGCGAAAGUGACGGUACCUGCAGAAGAAGCACCGGCUAACUACGUG